UGACCAAUGCACCAGUCAUUCCCACAUUAUUCUGUGCAUUGGGAGCAUGUGCAGUCUAGGAAGUGAGUAAUUGUGUAUGAUCAACCCUGAGCUCCUCUAGAUUCAGUUAAAAUGAUGUCCAGUGUGUUCAGCCCAUGGUGAGAAUUAAUAAAACACAAGAUUGUUUUCCGCCCAUGAAACUGCAAAUGCAUCCUUGGAACAGUUUCGGAGAUGCUACACAGGAAAGCAUGGUGGACCAUGAGGAUAUUCACACAGGGACCAUUGUACCAGCUGAAUGGCAUAACAAAAGCAACAUGCUUCUACAGCUGCAAAGUUCACAAGCAAGAAAUACAUCAACUGAUUCUUAAACCAACAGAGAAAAUGAUGUACAGUACCUCAGUGGUGUUGGCAAAGUAGACUGGCAAUUUCGUAUGAUUUAAAGAUUUUAAACUUUUUGCAAAUAUUACUGUAUUGUGAAUAAUACAGUUAUUACAUACCAAGUACAAAAUAAACAACUUGUUUGUUGAAACUGGA